rnacentral:rRNA from 1 species
AGAUAAUAGAUACCCUGGUAGUCCACGCCCUAAACUAUGUAUACUAGGUAUUGGCAGUAUCGACCCUGUCAGUGCCGUUUAAAAAAAAAACGCUAACGCGUUAAGUAUACCGCCUGGGGAGUACGGCCGCAAGGCUAAAACUCAAAGAAAUAGACGGGGACCCGCACAAGCGGUGGAGCAUGUGGUUUAAUUCGACGGUAAGCGUGGAACCUUACCCAGGCUCAACUACUAGCUGCAAGCUUCUAGAAAUAGAAGCCUCCUUCGAGGGUGCUAGAUAGGUGCUGCAUGGUUGCCGUCAGCUCGUGCCGUGAGGUGUACCAUUAAGUUGGGAAACGAGCGCAACCCACGUCGUGUGUUAAAUGUACACACGAGACUGCCCGGGCUCUUUGAGCAUGAACGUAAGUUCGUGAUCAGUGAGUCGGGGAGGAAGGGGUUGGACGACGUCAAAUCAGCAUGGCUCUUACGUCUGGGGCUACACACAUGCUACAAUGGAGAGAUCAGAGGGACGCC